rnacentral:rRNA from 1 species
UACAGGGGGGGCAAGCGUUGUUCGGAAUUACUGGGCGUAAAGGGCUCGUAGGUGGCCAACUAAGUCAGACGUGAAAUCCCUCAGCUUAACUGGGGAACUGCGUCUGAUACUGGAUGGCUUGAGUUUGGGAGAGGGAUGCGGAAUUCCAGGUGUAGCGGUGAAAUGCGUAGAUAUCUGGAGGAACACCGGUGGCGAAGGCGGCAUCCUGGACCAACACUGACACUGAGGUGCGAAAGCUAGGGGAGCGAACGGG